rnacentral:rRNA from 1 species
UAGGGAAUAUUGCACAAUGGGCGAAAGCCUGAUGCAGCAACGCCGCGUGUGCGAUGAAGGCCUUCGGGUCGUAAAGCACUUUUCUGGGAGAUGAGAAAGGACAGUAUCCCAGGAAUAAGUCUCGGCUAACUACGUGCCAGCAGCCGCGGUAAAACGUAGGAGGCGAGCGUUAUCCGGAUUCACUGGGUGUAAAGCGCGUGCAGGCGGUUCGGUAAGUUGGGCGUGAAAUCUCCUGGCUCAACUAGGAGAGGUCGUCCAAUACUACCGGGCUUGAGAGCGGUAGAGGAAGAUGGAAUUCCCGGUGUAGUGGUGAAAUGCGUAGAUAUCGGGAGGAACACCAGUUGCGAAGGCGAUCUUCUGGACCGUUUCUGACGCUCAGACGCGACAGCUAGGGUAGCAAACGGG